rnacentral:rRNA from 1 species
AUACAUAGGGGGCAAGCGUUAUCCGGAAUUAUUGGGCGUAAAGCGUGCGUAGGCGGUUUAUUAAGUCUGAUGUUAAAUCCCACAGCUCAGCUGUGGGCUGCCAUUGGAAACUGGUAGACUUGAGUGCGGUAGAGGUAAGUGGAAUUCCAAGUGGAGCGGUGGAAUGCGUAGAUAUUUGGAGGAACACCAGUGGCGAAGGCGGCUUACUGGGCCGUUACUGACGCUGAGGCACGAAAGCUUGGGGAGCAAACAGGAUUAGAUACCCUGGUAGUCCACGCCGUAAACGAUGAGCACUAAGUGUCGGAUGAAUUUUCGGCGCUGCAGUUAACACAAUAAGUGCUCCGCCUGGGGAGUACGGUCGCAAGACUGAAACUUAAAUGAAUUGACGGGG